GUGGGGAAUUUUGGACAAUGGGCGAAAGCCUGAUCCAGCCAUGCCGCGUGCAGGAUGAAGGCCUUCGGGUUGUAAACUGCUUUUGUACGGAACGAAAAGACUCCUUCUAAUAAAGGGGGUCCAUGACGGUACCGUAAGAAUAAGCACCGGCUAACUACGUGCCAGCAGCCGCGGUAAUACGGAGGGUGCAAGCGUUAAUCGGAAUUACUGGGCGUAAAGCGUGCGCAGGCGGUUAUAUAAGACAGAUGUGAAAUCGCAGGGCUCAAACUGGGAACUGCAUUUGUGACUGUAUAGAUAGAGUACGGUAGAGGGUGAUGGAAUUCCGCGUGUAGCAGUGAAAUGCGUAGAUAUGCGGAGGAACACCGAUGGCGAAGGCAAUCCCCUGGGCCUGCACUGACGCUCAUGCACGAAAGCGUGGGGAGCAAACAGGAUUAGAUACCCCUGUAGUCC
rnacentral:rRNA from 1 species